UCAUAUUUAACCUUGACUUUUCACUAAAUAUUUAGCUUUUUUUUUUCAUCGGAAAUGAUAUGUUUCUACUUUCAAUUUUUAUGACAAUAAUAAAAAUACAGUGGAGACAUGGAAGGUCAAUCUCAGUACAACCCAGUUAGGUGUUUUGUACUAUUCUUUUGGUUUCUGAAUGCUUUCAAUUCUUUUUCGAAACCAAUAACCGCAUUUAUUUGUUAUGGGAUUUCAUUACAGAAGGUCGUCAACAAUGUCUGUUACUUUCAUUUGUUACCCGUUAUGUUAGGUGGCUCAGAAGUUUUGGUGGAGGAUGUAAGAGAAGGUUUGUGUUGAAAACCGAAGAGGUGAAAAUUUUAGUGGCAGAAAUCAGAAAAAGGAAGAGAGUAUGAUGGUCUGUAAAAUUUAACUUGUAUAUAGUCUACUGGUUGUUGGUGUUGGGUUGCCGAUGACUGAUGGUGGUCAAAGUUCUUGAACGGUGGUUUUGGUGGUUGUCAAGAUAGGCUGCCGGCGGUGGUGGAUGUAUAUGCUUGAAAGAGAUUGAGUGUAGAAAGUAUGAAAUGGAAAAAAAUUGGUGGUGAAAGUUUAAAAGCCAGAAGUAAGAGGACCUGAGAUGUAAUAUGUAUAAUAAUGGGAGUUGUAACUUAUGCAUGUAUAGUUGUAGGUUGUACUUUGUGCAUACCAACAUGUAAAAAACUGGUUGGUUUUUAGUAUAUUGGGUAAAUAUGAGUUAGGGAAGACAACUAUAAAUGGGAUUAAAGAAGUUAAUUUGGUCAUUUCCAGGCGUUAAAGAAACGGAUGUUAUCUGCAGAAACAAGGCCAAGAGGGUUGGAUCAGUGGUUGGAGUUCUUGUCUCUAAAGACAGAGGUCAUGGGUUCGAUCCUUAUACCAAAGACAGUAUUGGACCAAAACUCAUGAAGACGGUAUUAAGAGUUAUUUUUUAGAAACGAGGCCAAGAGGGUAUGUUAGAUUGUUAUUAUUAUGUACUCAUGGACAAUGACAUCCCAAUUCAAGAAAAAUGAUUUAAGGUGUUGUA